AAAAUAGAAAUUUGCUUUAAUUAAGUCAAUGUAAAAUAUAGAAUAAGUAAUAGAAUUUCAAUUAUUUUGUGUUAUAGACCUACACUUCAUGAUUUGCGUAAAAAAUUAAAGUUGGUUCAACUCCCCCUCCCACCUAUUUUUUACUGGCAAUGGGCCUGGAGGUCACAAUGGUCACUGUCUUCUAUGUCAGGUGUCACAAAGGCUCCAUCAACUAAGGAGCAUCAGCCUGACAAUAGAGGGCCCUGACUCUUUGAGACAGGGACUCAGCAUGGAGCCACAAUGGGUACAUUCUGUCUCCUUCAGCCAGGAAAUAUCAGCAUAAAGAUAUACUUCUGUCUUCUUCAGAAUGGCAACAUCAGGAUGAGGACAAUGGGGUGGAGAGGACAACAUGCCACCACAGGAGGACUGGGACCUCAUCACAUGAGAUACAUUUCUGGACUAUGUCCCAAUCAGGUACCAUCUGUGGCUUCAUCAUGGGGAGAUGAAGGGCUAAUCAGAACUAUCACACAAUGUCAUGUGAUAAGGCAUGCUGGUUUCCACCUCUGUGCAAUAAAGUUCUUACUCCCCCUUUA